ensembl:lncRNA
GCCAGGGGAUGCUUCCUAAACGCUUGGUAUCUAAAGCCACCCUCACUACAGGUGUGCUGCCUUCUCAGCUGGCUCACCCAUCUCCCCUCUGGACUAUUGUUCUAAGCCUGAAUUGUUGCUGUGAGCAUGUCAGUUUAGGCUAAUGGGGGCUGAGUGGGGCUCUUAUUGAUUCCUGACAAAACUGAGAGGAGGGAGGAAUAGUCUUCCUACAGGGAUGAGACCCUUUUCCUAGAGGCCCUGUCCCUUUGAUUCCUCGAAGUACCAAACUAUCUCCCAGAACCCCAAACAAAGCCUCCCUGGCCUACGUUGAACUAGAGUCACUACCACCCUAAGUCAGCAGAGUUCCUAGUCCCCCUCAGAAGCCAAGAUUGGUUCCAGCCACACUAGCCAUGUGUUUUGAUACAGCCCAGUGUUUGGAUAGGGCCUUCAGUCUUAUAGGAAAGGGAACCCUAUGGUGGAGUUGGUUCCCAGGCAGGGAAUGAUAAGGAACAAUAGGGUCAAUGUACAGAGGAUCUCUGCACUUCUCAGUAAGGCCCAGGCCACCUCUCCUGAUAGAGGUGAAUUCUGGAUUUUGUGUUAAAUUGACAUAAAUGUUCUAGUAAUAUCCCUCAAUCCAGUCUCUCCUGACUUUCCAGUACUAAGAGAUUUGAUGAAUUGGGCCCAGAGAUGGGAGGGCCAAUUCUGAGGGCUGCAAUGGGUGGGAGUUUCUGGUUUGCAGAGGUUGAACAUCCUGAAUCUGAGAAAAGGCCAUCAAACCAACUCCUCUUUUCUUUAUGUUUUGUUUUUUUCAACCCAAUCACCACCCACCAGACCAGAUGGCCCCAGUGGCUUUCUAGCUGUUAUGGGAGACCCCAAAAUACCCUAUCCCUCCCCAAAUAACCUGAAACUGCUGGAAGCCUUGCCCUGUAUGAAGAGUGUUCCCCUUUUCCCACGUACAGUAUCCAAACUUGUAACUCUCUUUCUUUGCAACAUAUCACGCUGGAGGAAGAGGAGGAAGCUCCUGUCCUGGCUGCACUCAAGAGAGAGAGAGAGAGAGAGAGAGAGAGAGAAGAAAGCGGUUGGGAAACAGAGAGUUGCCCUGGUUAUGUGGUGGGGUCUUUUUGUUUUUAAACUCUGAAUUGAUUUUUGCUUUCUUUCUUACAAACAAAACAACCAACAACAAAAACCUGAAGACCAGAAGGCAACAGAACUGGACACAUGGAACCAAGCAAGCCUUCAGGGAGGCCAGUGACCCAAAAGGCCUUGGGUUUCUUUGAGCCAACCAGAGCUGUUGGGAAGAGACAGCUUGGAGCACUUUGCUGCACAGUAGUGCUAGAGGAGGUUUUGCUGGGACCAGUGAAGCAGGUAUCCUCCUGCCCAGUCUUGCAGGAGGAAAAGGAUCUAAACCAAAGCCAGUGAGGGGCUAAGGCCAAUGUCUCGUGCUUUGUUUUUUGAUUGUUUGGGGGUUUUUUUAAGUGAGUCUCUCCACAUCUGGAGUGGAAAGAACCAAGGCUGACAAGAUGUUGAACUUCUAGAAAGAGAUAAGUAUUAAGAUCUAGCCCUCAUGAGCGUGGGGAAAGGGAGGGAAAGGAAAGCGGGAGAGAGGGACCUGCUGGUCCCCUGGCUUAUCUGCCCUCUCCUUACUGGGGAGGCAGGACUUACUUCUUUCAGUCAUAUCAUUCCUUAGAGUUUAGGGACCAAAGGACUAUUGCUUUUUAAGAAAAAACUAUAUCUAUAUAAAUAAAUUAAUUUUCAAAAACA